ACUCUCCAUUCCCUGUCCCAUCAGAUCUGAAAACUAGUCUUGGUGCUCAUAAGAGGAGAAAAAGCAACACUACGGUGUGGUAGUCGGUGGUAUAUAGCAUGUGGGCAGGUUUCAAACAGGU
rnacentral:snoRNA from 1 species